AAAACAAAAUACUAGGUCAGUUUUCAAUUUUUUGCAGUGUGCUCUUCAAACUGCCUCUCCAUCUCCAUUUGCUUCUUCCUAUCUACCAUCAGGACAGACUGCAGGACCGUUUGUUUAUGGAUUAAGUGAGUUGGCGAAGCUGAAGCACGUAAUGAAAUAUAUACAGAUCUUUAAAACGGAGUGGAUGAAGGAUAAAAACUAAAGGAAUAAAGCAACCUCACAAAAAAAAAAAAAAAAAAAAAAAAGUUCAAAUGUAAUGAAAGUGUCCUGCAGUAUCUGUAAACGCAUGCAAUGUUCUACUCAGAAUCCUGGUUAAAACAGAGCGACUGCAGAUAACAGAGGAUCCGCUGGUGUCCCUAAACGCCUCUCAGCUGUAACCUGACCUUAGCACAGACAGUGCGUACAGUAAAGCGUGGUAGCCCUGCAGAUAAACCCCAUCACCAGCUGCACCCAUCUCUCCAGACUCACUCCUCACUCUCCCUUUUUUUUUUUUUUUUACUUUCUCUGCGUCUCUUCCCGCGUCUCAUUAAACGCAGCGCUAACAACAGUCACCAUCGUUUUUCGACGCUGCGCUUUCCGGCUGACCCUGAACGCAUCGCCUGCAGAACCAACCCCCAGUUAAGUUCAAGCUCUUCUGCACCAGCUGAGGAAUUCCCUGCUAGGGUGCUACAGCAAAUAGAGUCUGAUCAUCUGAGGUGUCUCUACAAAUAUGUGUCCAGGAGGAAGCGGCGGAGCACAUACCAGCCCCUCCACCACUUCACUGCUGCACUCUUUCCUCUGUCCAUCUCAUAUCUACUCUGUGUCAACUUAAAGUCUUUUUUUUUUUUUUUUUUCCUCAGAUGAGAAAAAAAAGAGAAGCACCUCUGUACAAAAUAUACAG